rnacentral:rRNA from 1 species
AGAGUUUGAUCCUGGCUCAGGAUGAACGCUGGCGGCGUGCCUAAUACAUGCAAGUCGAGCGAACGGACGAGAAGCUUGCUUCUCUGAUGUUAGCGGCGGACGGGUGAGUAACACGUGGAUAACCUACCUAUAAGACUGGGAUAACUUCGGGAAACCGGAGCUAAUACCGGAUAAUAUUUUGAACCGCAUGGUUCAAAAGUGAAAGACGGUCUUGCUGUCACUUAUAGAUGGAUCCGCGCUGCAUUAGCUAGUUGGUAAGGUAACGGCUUACCAAGGCAACGAUGCAUAGCCGACCUGAGAGGGUGAUCGGCCACACUGGAACUGAGACACGGUCCAGACUCCUACGGGAGGCAGCAGUAGGGAAUCUUCCGCAAUGGGCGAAAGCCUGACGGAGCAACGCCGCGUGAGUGAUGAAGGUCUUCGGAUCGUAAAACUCUGUUAUUAGGGAAGAACAUAUGUGUAAGUAACUGUGCACAUCUUGACGGUACCUAAUCAGAAAGCCACGGCUAACUACGUGCCAGCAGCCGCGGUAAUACGUAGGUGGCAAGCGUUAUCCGGAAUUAUUGGGCGUAAAGCGCGCGUAGGCGGUUUUUUAAGUCUGAUGUGAAAGCCCACGGCUCAACCGUGGAGGGUCAUUGGAAACUGGAAAACUUGAGUGCAGAAGAGGAAAGUGGAAUUCCAUGUGUAGCGGUGAAAUGCGCAGAGAUAUGGAGGAACACCAGUGGCGAAGGCGACUUUCUGGUCUGUAACUGACGCUGAUGUGCGAAAGCGUGGGGAUCAAACAGGAUUAGAUACCCUGGUAGUCCACGCCGUAAACGAUGAGUGCUAAGUGUUAGGGGGUUUCCGCCCCUUAGUGCUGCAGCUAACGCAUUAAGCACUCCGCCUGGGGAGUACGACCGCAAGGUUGAAACUCAAAGGAAUUGACGGGGACCCGCACAAGCGGUGGAGCAUGUGGUUUAAUUCGAAGCAACGCGAAGAACCUUACCAAAUCUUGACAUCCUUUGACAACUCUAGAGAUAGAGCCUUCCUCUUCGGGGGACAAAGUGACAGGUGGUGCAUGGUUGUCGUCAGCUCGUGUCGUGAGAUGUUGGGUUAAGUCCCGCAACGAGCGCAACCCUUAAGCUUAGUUGCCAUCA